UCAGGUUUUCGUGUCUAUAGUGAUUGGUGUACACUGCAGUUUAAUCAUUCAGAAUGUCUUAAUCAGUUGUGAAAAAAAUUUUCAUUUUCAUGAUGAGAGGACAAUGCAUGUUAAAGAAUAUGCCACAUUUGUUUGAUGGAAUGCUGGUAAAGAAGUGUCCUCAGAAUUCAAGUAUUGAGUUAUUGCAAUGUAAAAAAUUAUUCAAUACUGUAUAUACUCUAUUUAAAUUUUUGAAAAAUGUUUUAAAUUAAAAUCUCGCUGCCUGCAAUGAACAUUA